AUAGUUUGAAGCUGCCAUGCAGAGCCUUAGCUAACACCAUCCUUCGUCUGAACAAAGCAACAAUGACAAACAAUUAACAUGUUAGGAAACAUUUAGUAAACAGCUAGCCGACAGUGAAAAACAAUUCAUGUGUGCAAUCAUCCUGGAAAUUAGAAUGACAGCUUGAAGAACCUAUGGACCAGCAAUCAACCAUCAAGUGAAAGCAUUUUCCUCGUGUAUGUGAUCAGACUUGAAACAACUACAAUCUACUGCAUUUGACACAUUUCUACUGAAUCCCUGGUGCUCUAUAUAUGUAUCAGAAACAUUUGACAGAUAUGGCAUGAUACAGUAUGAUCAUUAAUAUCAGAGAUUAAUUAAGAGAAGUAGCAGAUUGCUUACUGAACCCACAACAUUGGUUACAGAAAAUGUCCCUUCUAUAAACCUGAAAACAACUUGCUGUCACUACAAAUCUAAUCCAAAAUUUAGUAUACGCUGAGACUUAUCUGGACUUCUGUGGUACGCGACACUGAUAAAUAAUAGGCAGAUUUCUAGCUGCAAGCAAAACUAUGUUUUUGGGCAACAUUGAUGCAUGAAACAAAAGAUUAACCAUGUAUAUGAAAACUGACGUUAUCCAACUAUUUUAUGAGUGUCAAAAAAUCAUGGGGGUCUUGUAUUGGUGGUUCUUCCUGAACCAAUUGACAUACAACAAAGGUAGCACGAGCAACGUCCAAGUAAAUACAGAAGCUAGUAAGGUCAAACUCAUGAAAGUUAAUUUCUUCGUACAAUUAGUUCAAGAACCAAAGCUUGAAGAGACAUAAAUGAAGGGACUGAAGUCUUUCGUUUCAAAAAAGGGAAUGAAGUGUUACCAUCCUGCUACAUCUGAAUCUUGAGGACGCCACCAUCAGGGGCAUCGCCAAAGGCAGAUCGAGGCCCCGAGCUAGCCGCUACCAUCAGGGCACCGCCAGCUGCAGAUCGAGUCCCUACGCUAGCCGCCGCCGCGCUUCCGUGUCAUGGCCGCACCCUUCCCGCCCCUACGCGGCCGAGGCCUUCCAUCCGGCACUGCCGCCGCAUCUAGCAUCGCGCCGCCGCCGCUACUCAUGUCUCUGCAAUGGAAUCCGGAGGGGAAAGGGGAUGGAACAGCUCUGGAAUGGCAUGCGUGGAAGUUGAUUUUGCCGCCAUCAGUGGAAUUGCCCCCGCCAAAACGAAGAUGCCGCAGCAGAUCAAACCGACCCGUCGUUGGUUGGGAGUACCCCGUACAACGGCCCUCGCCUUGUGGAUUUUUGGUUUGGGAGCACGAGCCCCGUCCGUCACCUAGCCAGGCGACGGCAACUCUCUCUGUCUUCAUUUACUUUGGUACACGUAAGCUAAACGUGGUCGUAAACAUGCGAGGCAUUUAAUGGCGUUGUACGUGCCCUGAGUACAACGUAGGCCUUUCUUUUAACACUUUUUAACAAUUUCCUAUCCAAACACUUACGUUAAAAGUAAGGUGUUAAAGUUUAACACCCCAUUUUUCAUAAACACAUGGAGAGGAUGUUAAAAC
rnacentral:lncRNA from 1 species